GAUGAACGCUGGCGGCGUGCCUAAUACAUGCAAGUCGAACGAAACUUCUUUAUCACCGAGUGCUUGCACUCACCGAUAAAGAGUUGAGUGGCGAACGGGUGAGUAACACGUGGGCAACCUGCCCAAAAGAGGGGGAUAACACUUGGAAACAGGUGCUAAUACCGCAUAACCAUAGUUACCGCAUGGUAACUAUGUAAAAGGUGGCUAUACUACCGCUUUUGGAUGGGCCCGCGGCGCAUUAGCUAGUUGGUAGGGUAAAGGCUUACCAAGGCAAUGAUGCGUAGCCGAAGUGAGAGGUUGAUCGGCCACAUUGGGACUGAGGCACGGCCCAAACUCCUACGGGAGGCAGCAGUAGGGAAUCUUCCACAAUGGGCGAAAGCCUGAUGGAGCAACGCCGCGUGGGUGAAGAAGGUCUUCGGAUCGUAAAACCCUGUUGUUAGAGAAGAAAGUGCGUGAGAGUAACUGUUCACGUUUCGACGGUAUCUAACCAGAAAGCCACGGCUAACUACGUG
rnacentral:rRNA from 1 species